CGGUGUAUAGCUCAGUGGUAGAGCGCAUGCCUUGCAUGCAUAAGAUCCUGGGUUUAAUCCCCAGUACCUCCA
rnacentral:tRNA from 1 species